GAUGAAGAACGUAGCGAAAUGCGAUACUUGGUGUGAAUUGCAGAAUCCCGUGAACCAUCGAGUCUUUGAACGCAAGUUGCGCCCGAAGCCGUCAGGCCGAGGGCACGCCUGCCUGGGCGUCACACGCCGUUGCCCCCCCGCGCCCCGCACCCAACGCUUUGGGAGCGACCGCGGGGCGGGCUGAUGAUGGCCUCCCGUGCGCUCCGCCGCGCGGUUGGCCCAAAUACCGAGUCCCCGGCGACGUGCGCCACGACGAUCAGUGGUUGAGAGACCUCUGUCGCAAGUCGUGCGCGCCCGUCGCGUCACGCGGGCUCGCAUAGCGCCUCGCGCCGCACCCGGUGCGGAGCUUUCAACGCGACCCCAGGUCAGGCGGGGUUACCCGCUGAAUUUAAGCAUAUCAAUAAGCGGAGGA
rnacentral:misc_RNA from 1 species